GUGAAUCAUCGAAUUUUUGAACGCAAAUUGCACUCUCCUCUGAGAGUAUGCCUGUUUGAGUUUCAGCCUAUAAAAAAUCGACAUCGUUGCUGUUUCGCGGUGACGUUCGUCGGAAAUUGGGUCAUCUUAAAUCCUUUUGGUUUUAAGCGACUUGAAAUUUUCUUUUUGGUUCCAUGAACGUUGCUAAGAUUUAUGUCUUUACACGUUUGAGUGUAUCUAUUUUUAUUAGACGGAACCGUCAUAGCGAAUCGCUGCCAUAAUGUUUCAUUAUC
rnacentral:misc_RNA from 1 species